AAGUCCGCUAACGAGCGCAACCCUCGCUGUGUGUUAUAUGUGUCACACGGGACUGCCGGUCUUAAGCCGGAGGAAGUGGGGAUGAUGUCAAGUCAGCAUGGCCUUUAUAUCCUGGGCUACACACACGCUACAAUGGCCAACACAAUAGGUUGCUAAGCCGCGAGGUGGCGCCAAUCCAUAAAGUUGGUCUCAGUUCAGAUUGUAGGCUGCAACCCGCCUGCAUGAAGAUGGAGUUGCUAGUAACCGCAGGUCAGCUAUACUGCGGUGAAUACGUUCCCGGGCUU
rnacentral:rRNA from 1 species